ensembl:lncRNA
GUAGUUACCUUCCACCGUGUGGUGCUGUGUGUGGUUCCUGGGUGUAACCAAAUGUUUAUCUGCAGUCUAUGCAGACAAACACAUCCUGUGAGCCAACCUUUGGCAACUGAAGAAAGUAUCGGUCGGUCUGUUGGAUGUGUGAGAGCACCUAAAUGUUGUCUUCCGCUUGUCUCAGUGAUAAUUUCAAGGAACUACUAUGAAUGUGCCAGCAAUUACCAGAUAUGCCUGGAUUUGACUGGGGAGCAUCAAUUACUCACAACUUGGUCACGCUCAGGAAAAGAGGAAGAGAAGUGGACUCAAUUUAUGGGAAGUUUCUAUGUGCAACUACCAUGAACAGGAAAUGAAUGGAAGAAUAGAAUCUCUAUCUGCAAAAAUGUAUCUUGGUUUACCUUCUAGAUCACAGUGACUGUAGCUCCAUAUAGAAAUGAUUUCCCCAAUACAUCUGAAAAGGAAACUUGAGAAGGAAAAGGAGUAGGUACAUGAUUUUUGGGCCAAAUGUCACAGAAUACUGUUGAUAAGAGACUUGGGAAAAAUUUUAGACAUCCUGUUGUCCUGAAGGUAAUGAAGUAUCAAUGAGGAUCGACCGGUCG